rnacentral:rRNA from 1 species
UACGUAGGGUGCAAGCGUUAAUCGGAAUUACUGGGCGUAAAGCGUGCGCAGGCGGCUUUGCAAGACAGAUGUGAAAUCCCCGGGCUUAACCUGGGAACCGCAUUUGUGACUGCAUGGCUCGAGUGCGGCAGAGGGGGAUGGAAUUCCGCGUGUAGCAGUGAAAUGCGUAGAUAUGCGGAGGAACACCGAUGGCGAAGGCAAUCCCCUGGGCCUGCACUGACGCUCAUGCACGAAAGCGUGGGGAGCAAACAGG